GAUGAAGAACGUAGCGAAAUGCGAUACGUAAUGUGAAUUGCAGAUUUCAGUGAAUCAUCGAAUCUUUGAACGCACAUUGCGCCCGCUAGUAUUCUGGCGGGCAUGCCUGUUCGAGCGUCAUUUCAACCAUCAAGCCCCCGGCUUGCGUUGGAGCCCUGCGGCUGCCGCAGGCUCCCAAAUCCAGUGGCGGGCUCGUCGUCGUACCGAGUGCAGUAAACAUCCUCGCUCAGGGAACGUGACGGGUUCUUGCCGUGAAACCCCCCACAUAUCAAGGUUGACCUCGGAUCGGGUAGGGAUACCCGCUGAACUUAAGCAUAUCAAUAAGCGGAGGA
rnacentral:misc_RNA from 1 species